AUGCCGGCUGGCGUCAAGUUCGAUCCCACAGAUCAGGAGCUGAUCAAGCACCUUGAGGCCAAAGUGAGUGCUGACAGCGCGAGAUUUCAGUCUCUCAUCGAUUUGUUCAUACCAACCAUCGACAGCGAGCACGACAUAUGCUACACCCAACCUGAGAAACUUCCAGGUAUCACACUAAGUGGCCUAAGGAAGCAUUUCUUCCGGCGCAAUUCCAGGACAUUCAAAAGGGGCACAUGGGCAUCAAAAAAGGUUCUGAUGCUGCACACCAGCAAGAACUUCGACAAGCAGAGGACCAACUGGGUGAUGCACCAGUACCACCUCGGGGACCUGGAGCAAGAGAAGGAGCGGGAGCAGGCCCAGCCCAUGACGACAACGGGGCACAAUGAUCCAGCAGGUAUCUACUGGCCUCUGGCCCGCUGGCGUUAG
rnacentral:rRNA from 1 species